AGUGAACGCUGGCGGUAGGCCUAACACAUGCAAGUCGAACGGCAGCACAGUAAGAGCUUGCUCUUACGGGUGGCGAGUGGCGGACGGGUGAGGAAUACAUCGGAAUCUACUUUUUCGUGGGGGAUAACGUAGGGAAACUUACGCUAAUACCGCAUACGACCUACGGGUGAAAGCAGGGGAUCUUCGGACCUUGCGCGAUUGAAUGAGCCGAUGUCGGAUUAGCUAGUUGGCGGGGUAAAGGCCCACCAAGGCGACGAUCCGUAGCUGGUCUGAGAGGAUGAUCAGCCACACUGGAACUGAGACACGGUCCAGACUCCUACGGGAGGCAGCAGUGGGGAAUAUUGGACAAUGGGCGCAAGCCUGAUCCAGCCAUACCGCGUGGGUGAAGAAGGCCUUCGGGUUGUAAAGCCCUUUUGUUGGGAAAGAAAAGCAGCAGGUUAAUCCCCCGCUGUUUUGACGGUACCCAAAGAAUAAGCACCGGCUAACUUCGUG
rnacentral:rRNA from 1 species